rnacentral:rRNA from 1 species
UACGGGGGGGGCAAGCGUUGUUCGGAAUUACUGGGCGUAAAGGGCUGGUAGGCGGCCAACUAAGUCCGACGUGAAAUCCCAAGGCUUAACCUUGGAACUGCGUCGGAUACUGGAUGGCUUGAAUUCGGGAGAGGGAUGCGGAAUUCCAGGUGUAGCGGUGGAAUGCGUAGAUAUCUGGAGGAACACCGGUGGCGAAGGCGGCAUCCUGGACCGACACUGACGCUGAGGAGCGAAAGCCAGGGGAGCAAACGGG